UACGUAGGGUGCAAGCGUUGUCCGGAAUUAUUGGGCGUAAAGAGCUCGUAGGCGGCUUGUCGCGUCGGCUGUGAAAACCUGGGGCUCAACCCCGGGCCUGCAGCCGAUACGGGCAAGCUAGAGUUCGGUAGGGGAGACUGGAAUUCCUGGUGUAGCGGUGAAAUGCGCAGAUAUCAGGAGGAACACCGGUGGCGAAGGCGGGUCUCUGGGACGGUACUGACGCUGAGACGCGAAAGCGUGGGGAGCGAACAGG
rnacentral:rRNA from 1 species